GUGUCAGCCGCCGCGGUAAUACGGGGGGUGCAAGCGUUGUUCGGAAUUAUUGGGCGUAAAGAGCGUGUAGGCGGCUGGAUAAGUCAGAUGUGAAAGCCCUGGGCUUAACCCAGGAAGUGCAUUUGAAACUGUUCAGCUUGAGUAGGGGAGAGGAAAGUGGAAUUCCUGGUGUAGAGGUGAAAUUCGUAGAUAUCAGGAGGAACACCUGUGGCGAAGGCGACUUUCUGGCCCUAUACUGACGCUGAGACGCGAGAGCGUGGGUAGCAAACAGGAUUAGAUACCCUGGUAGUCCACGCCGUAAACGAUGUUCACUAGGUGUUGGGGGUAUUGACCCCCUCAGUGCCGUAGCUAACGCAUUGAGUGAACCGCCUGGGGAGUACGGUCGCAAGACUAAAACUUAAAUGAAUUGACGGGG
rnacentral:rRNA from 1 species